rnacentral:rRNA from 1 species
GACGAACGCUGGCGGCGUGCUUAACACAUGCAAGUCGAACGGUAAGGCCCUUCGGGGUACACGAGUGGCGAACGGGUGAGUAACACGUGGGUGAUCGGCCCUGCACUUCGGGAUAAGCCUGGGAAACUGGGUCUAAUACCGGAUAGGACCACUGCCUGCAUGGGUGGUGGUGGAGAGGUGUUACGGUGUGGGAUGGGCCCGCGGCCUAUCAGGUUGUUGGUGGGGUUAUGGCCUACCAAGGCUACGACGGGUAGCCGGCCUGAGAGGGUGACCGGUCAGAAUGGGAGUGAGAGAGCGCCCAGAUGCGUAAGGGAGGCAGCAGUGGGGGAUAUUGCGUAAUGGGGUCAAGCCUGAUGCAGUGACGCGCCGUGAGAGAUGCCGGCCUUCGGGUUGUAAACCUCUUACAGCACCGCCGAAGCGCAAGUGCAGGUAGGUGCAGAAAAAGGACCGGCCAACUACGUGCCAGCAGCCGCCGUAA